GAUGAACGCUGGCGGCGUGCCUAAUACAUGCAAGUCGAGCGAACGGACGAGAAGCUUGCCUCUCUGAUGUUAGCGGCGGACGGGUGAGUAACACGUGGAUAACCUACCUAUAAGACUGGGAUAACUUCGGGAAACCGGAGCUAAUACCGGAUAAUAUUUUGAACCGCAUGGUUCAAAAGUGAAAGACGGUCUUGCUGUCACUGAUAGAUGGAUCCGCGCUGCAUUAGCUAGUUGGUAAGGUAACGGCUUACCAAGGCAACGAUGCAUAGCCGACCUGAGAGGGUGAUCGGCCACACUGGAACUGAGACACGGUCCAGACUCCUACGGGAGGCAGCAGUAGGGAAUCUUCCGCAAUGGGCGAAAGCCUGACGGAGCAACGCCGCGUGAGUGAUGAAGGUCUUCGGAUCGUAAAACUCUGUUAUUAGGGAAGAACAUAUGUGUAAGAAACUGUGCACAUCUUGACGGUACCUAAUCAGAAAGCCACGGCUAACUACGUG
rnacentral:rRNA from 1 species